CGGACGGGUGAGUAAUGUCUGGGAAACUGCCUGAUGGAGGGGGAUAACUACUGGAAACGGUAGCUAAUACCGCAUAACGUCGCAAGACCAAAGAGGGGGACCUUCGGGCCUCUUGCCAUCGGAUGUGCCCAGAUGGGAUUAGCUAGUAGGUGGGGUAACGGGCUCACCUAGGCGACGAUCCCUAGCUGGUCUGAGAGGAUGACCAGCCACACUGGAACUGAGACACGGUCCAGACUCCUACGGGAGGCAGCAUG
rnacentral:rRNA from 1 species